AAAACGACUCUCGGCAACGGAUAUCUCGGCUCUCGCAUCGAUGAAGAACGUAGCGAACUGCGAUACUUGGUGUGAAUUGCAGAAUCUCGUGAACCAUCGAGUCUUUGAACGCAAGUUGCGCCCGAAGCCAUUAGGCCGAGGGCACGUCUGCCUGGGCGUCACGC
rnacentral:rRNA from 1 species